ensembl:snRNA
GCAUUGUAUGAAAGGAGAGAAGGUUAGUACUUCUCUUGACAAGGAUGGAAGAGGCCCUUGGGCCUGACAAGCCUACGGUUAAGGCGUUGCCUCGAAAUUCCUGGCAUCUAGCCACUGUUUUUU